GGGAAAUUCUGGCCUGGGGUUCAGUAUUGCUGGAGGAACAGAUAACCCACACAUUGGGGAUGAUCCUGGGAUAUUCAUUACUAAGAUUAUACCAGGAGGAGCCGCAGCAGAGGAUGGAAGACUCAGGGUCAACGACUGCAUCUUGCGAGUGAAUGAGGUGGACGUGUCAGAAGUCUCACACAGCAAAGCCGUGGAGGCCCUAAAAGAGGCUGGCUCCAUAGUUCGAUUGUAUGUUCGUCGAAGGAGACCUAUUCUGGAGACCGUGGUAGAGAUCAAGUUGUUCAAAGGCCCUAAAGGUAAAUAUGAAAAUGAAUACACGUCCAUUUUAAGCUUGAUGUUUAACCUCUCUCAUAGAUGAAACAGGACCUGUCUUUGUUGACUGGUUAACUGCUUAACCUGUCAAUUACAGAAAUACAGUGAAUUUAGGCUGGCAGAACCUGGAUUCAUGAUUCCGUGUGUUUUCAUUACAUAUAAAGAAAUGCAAGACAUUGUGAUUUGUGUGAUGUAAUGUUUCUUGUAGAGAUGGCUUCUUACCUCCAGAAUAAAUGCAAGAUACAGAAAUUGUAUGCUUUUCAAUGACGGAAGAUACAUUUCUUCUAAACUUACUCUACUGAGAUCCUUGGAGUUCAUUGAAGAUGCUAUAACAUAAUGAGAUUCUGAAUUCUUCCUUUUUUAAAGAUUGUUUCAUGUAUGUCCAACUUUUCCUUUCUACUUUCAUGUUGAUGCUUUUUCCUACAAUUCUCU